rnacentral:misc_RNA from 1 species
UAAUUGUUAUGUAUUAAACAUGAUGUCACAAUAACAUUAUUACAUUUAUGCUGCAUUUACGAAAUUUUUAUGUUACGCUCAUUGACGUUAUCAAAAUUACGUAAUUGUUAUGUAUUAAACAUGAUGGCGCAAUAACAUUACAAUAGUAACAUCACAUUUACGAAACAUUAACAUUUGGCUUAUUGACGUCAACAAAAUUAUGUAAAUGUUACGUAACUAUACAACGAAAAAGUGACAACACAGGCAUACGUAACAGAUAUAGUCUCGUUACGUCAAUGACAUACUUGUCACAUUAUUAGUUCGUUGUGCUAGUCUGUAACAUUUAUGUGCAAUAUGUUUUAUAAAUGUUCCGUAAAUGCUCACAGCGUGUUCAUUGGGAACAGAGUAAGAAAAUUGCGCAACGCCGAACGUGACAAUUAAAAAUAAGCACACUAACAUAAUUACCUACAUAAUUAAAAUAGGAUAAGCAGAAUUCAGACGCAACAACCUUGCCGAAUAUCAGGAAUGCUGAUCGGCAAGGAUGCUCGCUAACCUAGAAAGCUGGAAUAAAAAGAAAGCGAUCGAAUACAAGACGGACUCAGUCAUAAUCAAUCUGUCGCGUUAUUCUGUCACGUAACACUGCUGUAAAAGUAAUCCAUCGAGUGAAGUUAAGUAGUGAAAUAAAGUGUACAUAUUAUCCACGUCGAGAGUGCCUUAUUUAAAUCCCAGUCCCAGAGAGCGCGCUCUCGAGCAAGCAGAGUGCAGCUAAUAAUAAGUGACCAGCGGUGCGAAGGGUUCCUGACGGAGGACGGACCUCGAAGUGCCCCGAAGGGCACGACUUUAUUCUUGAAUUAAUUAAUAAUAUAUUAUUAGUUUAAUGUAACCCAUACGGCACAAGAGAUAAUCGGAACACGAACAAAGGAACGAAUAAAGAUGAGUCAACGAAAUUGACAUGAGUAACGUUUAUAAGUUCCAAAAAACCCAUCAAAAAGCUUUUAAGGAAAAAUUUAGAUUUACACUAGGCACUACUAGCAUAAUUGUCAUGGCUAGAUGCCAUCAAAAAUCGGCCAAUAAUGAAUGCCGAAAUCAAAAAUGAAAAAAUUGUCUAUCGAAAUUAUAUAGACAUUGGCGUGGCGAUCGCCACGCCAAAAAAACUUGUGGUGCCAAUAAUACACAGUGCCGAAAAAAGAACAUUAUUUGAGAUUGAAAUCGCUUUGGCGAAUUUUACAAAAAAGAUUGAAAACAACAAAAUUACAAUAAAAGAUACAAAUGGAGGUACUUUUAUCAUAUUCAACAGCAAAUCGCUAUUAAGUACCCGUAUAGUCAAUCCGACACAAAGCGCUUGUCUUGGGACGCAUGGCGUCAUUAAAAGACUUGUUGUUAUCAACAGAAAGGUAAAGAAAUUCGUAUUAAACCUUUAAACAAUUUUUUAAGUUUUGAAAAAAGAUUGAAAACAAAACUAGUACUGUCAAGGAUACGAGGUUGAAACUCGAGAAGUAUGAUUACGAAACCGUGCAUCGAGCAGGCAAAGGCAAUGUCAAUGCCGAUGCUCUGAGCCGGUAUCCAGUUACGGAUAGCGCGAGUGUCAAUGCAAUUACGCCAACAGAAGAGAGAGAGAAGAAGCGACGAGAGAGUAUACAGAAGAGGAAAAAUGAUAAAUACCAUUUGAAUAUCAUGACGAUGGAGGGACACCAGUUGACUACGAUCAACGAAAUCGACAUAAGGUAAUUAAUUUCAAGAAUUAUUCGCACGUACCCUUAAUAGAAUUAGAUUAAUGCAUAACUGGCGAGGAAUAACUAGAGUUAUAGAAGAAUAUAUUAGUAAAUGUGAAUUUUGCCAGAAAAAUAAACUAAGCCAAAGAACAACAAUGCCUCUAACUAUCACAGACACUCCUGAGAGGCCCUUCGAAAAAUGUGCAUUAGACAUAGUGGGACCACUGCCGGUAACUUCUUGUUUUUUUUUGUAUGAUAUUGUUACGUGUGCAUUGCGUUAACCAAGAGUUUUAACUUUUUUACAGAUUACAAUUUUCAAGAAGUAUUUUGGGGGAAAUUCCCCCAAUUAAUUGUGUGCCCGAGGGCACAAGAAAAAAAAAACAACAAAAAAUGAGCCGCGCGCACCAACACGUUACGCAAAAUUUAAAAGAGACAACCAAUGCAAAAAUUUUAUUGACUACGGUCAAUGAAAUUGAUAUGAGGACCACCUUACUAAAUUUACUAAGGCUAUACCUGUAGAAAAUCAAGAAGCAAGUACAGUAGCAGAAGCCUUCGUAACAAAAAUAGUAGUGGAGUAUGGAAUAUUCCGAGAAAAUUCUAACAAACCAGGGAACCAACUUCACAAGCGAAAUGUUCAAGAACACUUGUAAAUUAUUAAAAAUAGAGAAAAUACAGACCACGGCGUAUCACCCGGAAAGUAAUGACCCUGGUAACACAAUCUGAUAGCUCAGAUACGUCCCAAAGAUGUGCGCAAGAAAACAAUCCAAAAUUGCGACAGAGGUGCAUAAUAUCUCUUAUGAAACGAGUACUUACUGUACUAUUGCAGCAGUCUGCUAUAAGAAGCUACUAUGAAAUUUGAUACAAUGUGUUAAAAGUAGACGUACAGCAGAAGUGUGAAAACAACAUUGAAGUAUCUGCUCGACAGAAAAAUAAUAGCAAAUCACGCUAAACCCUUCAUGCACAUUUGCAGCAGAGUAACAACAGUUUUUGUCACGUAAAAUGCUGAGUUUCGAGUACAAAUUCGAGCGGCAGAAACGCGAAAAGAACGUGCAAGCAUUUGCCCGUCAGAAAAAGAGCAGUCAAGUGUGCUACACUCUUUAAUCAUAUUGACAGCAAAAUUCCAUAAGUGUAUGUCGCGUAAAUUGUUGUUUUUGCCUUGUAGAUCUGAAUCACAGAAAUGCGAAAAAAACGUGAAAGCAUCUGUUCGACAAAAAAAUAAUAGCAAAUCGCGCUAGACUUUUCACGCACAUUUGCAGCAGAAUAACAACAGUUUUUGCCACUUAAAAUGCUGACGAAUUUCGAGUAUAGAUUCGAGCAGCAAAAACGCGUAAAAAAUAGGCAAGCAUUUGUCCGUCAGAUUAUAUAAAUUGCUUAGCGCGUUAGAUCUUUCAAAUUUAUAGCAUAAUUACAAAAUAUUUGUCGCUUAAAUUACCGAGAUUCAAGAAGGAUUAUAGCCUCAGAAAUGUAUAGAGAUUUGUACAAACACCAUGCUCAUCAAAUAAAAUAUUAUAUAAAUGAAA